CCCUCUCUCGGCGACCAGCCCUGGCCACGUUAGCGACCUUCCCGGCGCGGAGCUAAAGUGGUGAAAGGCGUGCUGCGGCGGCGGGGCGAGGAGGGACAGGCACGUCGGGUGCGGGCCGCGCGGCCUCUUUGCGGUACUCGGGAGCGGCCCGGGCGACGCCGGUGCGAACGCGGGCCCACGGUGCUCCCCGCCGAGCCACGGGUCCGCGCGUGCGGGACGGCUCUAGGCCCCGGGACCGGAAGGGCCGCGGCGCGGGGUCCUCGCGCGUGCACGUGGCCAUGGCCGCUGCCGCCCCCGGGACGUGCUCGGGGCCUCUCGGGGCCCCAGCGAGCAGGCAAGCGAAGGCUACCAAGAGGAAAUGCAGAGUAUUCAGCGAAGCUCCUCCGGCAAAGCGAGGGAAUGGAAUGCCCUUUCUCUCAUCCAAGAAAACUGGUGUGAAAGAAACUCCCAGGACUUUCACGGGGAGGUCACAGAAACAUUUUUCUCCCAAGAAUCAUUUGCUUAACUCAGCUGACAGAAGGCAAGAGGAGAAAGCGAGCAUUAAGACCUCAUCGUUGUUUAAGAACAAUCCCGCCAUCCCGGAACUCCACAGACCUGUGGUAAAGCAGGCGCGAGAGCAAGUGUUCACUCCCGAGGCUUUCCAUGAGCUGGGCCUCCACCCGCAUCUAAUUUCUACAAUAAACACAGUCUUAAAAGUAUCCAGUAUGACCAGUGUUCAGAAGCAAAGUAUUCCUGUGUUGCUGGAAGGCAGAGAUGCCCUCGUGCGGUCCCAGACCGGCUCAGGUAAAACGCUUGCCUAUUGCAUCCCUAUGGUCCAGUCCCUUCAAGCAACGAAGUCAAAAAUACAGCGCAGCGAUGGCCCGUACGCCCUGGUGCUGGUGCCGACGAGAGAGCUGGCUCUCCAAAGCUUUGACACUAUCCAGAAACUGCUUAAGCCAUUCACCUGGAUUGUUCCUGGAGUGUUGAUGGGUGGAGAGAAGAGAAAAUCAGAAAAAGCCAGACUCCGCAAAGGAAUAAAUAUCCUCAUCUCAACUCCUGGACGGCUGGUGGAUCAUAUAAAAUCCACGAAGAACAUUCAUUUUAGCCGGAUUCAGUGGCUGGUGUUGGAUGAGGCCGACAGAAUCUUGGAUUUGGGUUUUGAGAAGGAUCUCACUGUGAUCCUCAAUGCUGUAAACGCCGAGGGCCAGAAGCGGCAGAACGUCUUGCUGUCGGCCACACUUACGGAAAGUGUGACACGGUUAGCAGAUAUCAGUUUACACAAUCCAGUCAGCAUUUCUGUGGUGGACAGAAGCCAUGACCAGUCUAUCCCAAAGGGCAGAGCGGCCCAGGACCCUGGUCCUCCACAGACUGGCAGCAGGCUGGACAGCUUCGCCAUACCAGAGAGUCUUGAGCAGCACGUGACAUUGGUCCCCAGCAAACUGCGGCUGGUCUGCCUAGCGGCCUUCAUCCUGCAGAAAUGCAAGUUUGAGAAGGACCAGAAGGUGAUCGUCUUUUUCUCCAGCUGCGAGCUGGUGGAGUUCCACUACAACCUCUUCCUCCAGACCCUACAGAGCCUCACGGGGGCCCCUGCCUCGGGGCCGGUGCCAUCUGCCUCCGUGGGAUUAAAAUUCCUGCGGCUGCACGGCAACAUGGAACAGGAGGAAAGAACAGCAGUGUUUCAGGAAUUCUCAUAUUCCAAAACAGGCGUCCUUCUCUGCACGGAUUCCCAGGACCAGUUUGUCCAGCCUCAGUCAGCGCGGCCCAGUGCUGCCUCUCACAGUGCUGUGCUGACCUUUUCAGACGUUGCAGCGCGGGGCUUAGAUCUCCCACAAGUCACAUGGAUUAUCCAGUACACCGCUCCGGCUUCCCCUGCAGAAUACAUCCACCGGAUUGGAAGGACGGCCCGGAUUGGCUGCCGUGGGAGCAGCCUGCUCAUUUUGGCUCCUUCCGAGGCAGAAUAUGUCAACUCCUUGGCUUCUCACAAAAUCAACGUUUCCGAGAUUAAGAUGGAAGAUAUUUUGUCCGUUCUGACACAGGAUGAUUGUUUUAAAGCGAGGCGAAGGGAAAGCCAGAAAUCCCACGCUGUCGGCCCCCAGGAAAUCCGAGAGCGCGCCACGGUCUUACAGACACUGUUUGAAGAUUACGUGCACUCCACUGAGAGGACAGCCUCCGCGGCCAAGCAAGCCCUGCAGUCCUUCAUCGGAGCCUACGCGGCCUACCCCCGGGAGCUGAAGCACAUCUUCCACGUGCGGUCCCUCCACCUUGGCCACGUGGCGAAGAGCUUCGGGCUGAGAGAUGCUCCUAGGAACCUCGGCAUCCCGGCCAGGAGGAGGAAAGCAGCCCUGAAGAGGCUGUGCCUCUCCUGAUUGGCAGUGGAAGAGACAUCUGUCUGUCCGCUGAAUAAUCCAGCCUGCAGACCGGGUGCUUCCCUAUGGCUCUGGGCCUCAGAACAAAGGAGGAGACAGAGCUGCCAAGGGAGUGUGGGUGCUGCUGGUGGCUGUCAGACAGGGUCGACCCUGACGUGCUCCCACCUGAGAGCUGGGGCUGAAGAACUGCUCGCCGACCUCCAUGAGCCCCUGGGCUGGAAGGACGUUGGUCAGAUAGAAGGGUGAGGUAGAUGGAGAUGUGACAAUCAAGUCAUCUCCGGGAGAACCUUUGUUUUCUUUCCUGUUGGUGGUUCUGGAGUUUGAUCCCAGGACCUCACACAUCUAGGCACGUGCUUCCUCCUUGAGCUCCUCCCGGCCUCAGGGUCUACUUUCCCAUGGCGACCUCCAGCACAUGGACUCUGAGGCCCUUAACAAACGUUCCUGUCCAGCAGUUUGUCUUCCCUGCUGCCCCGGACCAGUGCAUCCGUCCGUGGAGGGGCGGCACAGGCCUGACCUUCGCAGGAAGCCACAGAGUAAACAGCGCCUCACCGAGCUCCUCUGCUCCGAAUACUCAAGUGGGCUGGAGGCCAGCGGCGCCGAGGGCUGGAGGCAGCGCGCACAGGAGGCCAGUGGCCGGGGCCCAGCAAGCCCACACCUCGGGAAAACUGCAGCAGCUCCCGCCCGGGCCACAAA